ensembl:snRNA U1 U1 spliceosomal RNA
AUACUUACCUGGCAGGGGAGAGACCAUGACCAAGCAAGUGGUUUUCCCAGGGCGAGACUCAUCUCUUGCACUCCGGAUGUGCUGAUCCCUGUGAUUUCCCAAAAUGAGGGAAACUUGCUUGCAUAAUUUGUGGUGGUGGGGGACUGAGUUGUUUUUGUUUGUU